rnacentral:rRNA from 1 species
AUUGAACGCUGGCGGCAUGCCUUACACAUGCAAGUCGAACGGCAGCACGGGUGCUUGCACCUGGUGGCGAGUGGCGAACGGGUGAGUAAUACAUCGGAACAUGUCCUGUAGUGGGGGAUAGCCCGGCGAAAGCCGGAUUAAUACCGCAUACGAUCUACGGAUGAAAGCGGGGGACCUUCGGGCCUCGCGCUAUAGGGUUGGCCGAUGGCUGAUUAGCUAGUUGGUGGGGUAAAGGCCUACCAAGGCGACGAUCAGUAGCUGGUCUGAGAGGUCGACCAGCCACACUGGGACUGAGACACGGCCCAGACUCCUACGGGAGGCAGCAGUGGGGAAUUUUGGACAAUGGGCGAAAGCCUGAUCCAGCAAUGCCGCGUGUGUGAAGAAGGCCUUCGGGUUGUAAAGCACUUUUGUCCGGAAAGAAAUCCUUGGCCCUAAUACGGUCGGGGGAUGACGGUACCGGAAGAAUAAGCACCGGCUAACUACGUG